UAACAGAGGAGAAAAAGAAGCAACACUUUUCCUGAGGGAAGGAAAAUGUACAGGACCGUAAGGCGGUAUCGCUGACAUGCCACAAGGACCAAAGAGCAGAUUUCAAGAGGGAAGUCAAGAAGCAGGAUGAAAAAUGUAAAGCGAAGCACUCUGAGGAAGCUUUCACAAAGUCUGGAUUCGCUAAUUGGAAAAAGAGACAAAUCUGAACGGCACCAUGUUUCCCCAUGUCAUCGCAGAGCAGCUGAUACUGUUCAAAAGACCACAAGGAAUGGUGGUGACAUACUUCAUUUUCAGAACUCUCAGAAGAAGGAAGAAAACAGGAAGAUUCUAAUAAAAAUGCUAAGUACAAUAAAUUAUCUUGCCAACAAGAACUUGUCCCAUGAAGCCACUAUUAAGAACAAGGUGUAAAUAUGAAGAAUGUGACCGCAACUUUUUCAACUACUUUUCCUGAAGUCAAAAUGUGAUCAUGGGGUUUCUCAAUGGUGGAGAAAGACAAAUCAAAUUCACAGAUUCUGUUGUGCUGCUGAAGUAGUAAAGGGUAUUUCUAGGAGUUUUCUAGCAAGGUGGCAUGUUACGAUAAAUAGAAUACAACUUUUCCAAUGAAAGGUAGUUAUAUAUGUAGUAUGUAUGUAACAGGAAUGCUUGCAAAGAGCUUGCUGCAAGACAGCCUGUGCACUGUCAGAGAUGUUGUAUCUGCAACUAGAGUAAUCUCCAGUUCUGAAAACUGACAGCUAUUCUGGAUCAUGCUAUGCUGCCUUUUCUUGGCAAUCUGUAUUCAGUAAGAAGAACAACUACUCAUGAAUACCUGUUUUAAUGGGCAAUCUAUGACCUUGCCUACUCUAAAGCAUGCAGUAUAAUGCUGUGAAAUGAGCUCAGCUAGCUCGUAUGGCAACUCAUAUGGGAAAAUGCAAAGGAACUGGUGAUGUCAGAAUUUAGAAAGUCUUAAAUAUUGAGUAGAAAAUGCAUGGGGAAAAAAGUAAAACAAAAAACUACUUACUUCAGUCUAUGCACCAGAUUAAAGGUACACAUUAUUAUAGGUACAAACCUAGGAGAAAGUCGAGGGUGAAAUGACUGAGGUUUUGAAUGUGAGUAAAACUUUCAGGAAGACAUCAAGAGCUACAGAGGAAUCCAAACAUCCAAACAGAGAAAAGAAUUUGUAUGGACUCAUCAACUCUGAAAUAAUACGUUUUAAUAAAUAUAAUCCAUGAUGUGGACACUCCGUCCGUAAAAGAAAUAAGUAUUCAAGGAGAUGUGGUUCCUAUUUCAAUCAAAAUCAAUUGAUUUUUCUACUUCCCAUUUUAAAACUUAAUAGAAACAUCCCAAAAGACAAUCAAAGAUAAUGCAGAUAACUUCAAAGUUUGUGUUCUUUAGAAGCUAAGUUUCAGGGAAACCAAAGCUGAAUGAAAGAAAAACAAGGAGUUAAAACUUAAAUCACAAAUGACAUUAGAUCUUUGCAAUUAGAACUCUUGCAAGGUUAUCUGUGGAAAAAAAAAUAAUAAAAAAAAAAAGAGGGUGAU